GCAAAUUUUGGUUUACAUGGGUUACUUGUACAAGUACUUGAAGGAAACAAACAGGGCUGAGUAUGUGUCGUUUGUGGAUCCCAACAAAAUACCAGCCGCUCAAGAUGGCAAUACCUCUUCACAACACAUUGCUAAUCAGUUGAAAGCAUCAAACGGAGACAGCAUAUGCCUUAUCCCAUACAACACUGGUUUGCAGGUUGUGUGAAGAACCAGUACUAUACGCAGAC